UACAGAGGGUGCAAGCGUUAAUCGGAAUUACUGGGCGUAAAGGGCGCGUAGGCGGUUAGAUAAGUUAGGUGUGAAAUGUCUGGGCUUAACCUGGAGACUGCACUUAAGACUGUGUGACUAGAGUAGAGUAGAGGGAAGUGGAAUUUCCGGUGUAGCGGUGAAAUGCGUAGAUAUCGGAAAGAACACCAGUGGCGAAGGCGCUUUCUGGACUCAUACUGACGCUGAGGCGCGAAAGCGUGGGAAGCAAACUGG
rnacentral:rRNA from 1 species